GACGAACGCUGGCGGCGUGCCUAAUACAUGCAAGUAGGACGCAGUUGCGAACGGGUGAGUAACGCGUCGGUAACUGCCUAUUAGAGGGGGAUAACUAUUGGAAACGAUAGCUAAUACCGCAUACUAGUAGAUGGACCUGCGUUGUAUUAGAUAGUAGGUAGGGUAAUGGCCUACCUAGGCGACGAUACAUCGCCGACCUGAGAGGGUGUACGGCCACACUGGGACUGAGGAACGGACCAGACUCCUACGGGAGGCAGCAGUAGGGAAUCUUCGGCAAUGGGGGGAACCCUGAACGAGCAACGCCGCGUGAGUGAAGAAGGUUUUCGGAUCUUAAAGCUCUGUUGUUAAGGAAGCGGUACUUAACCAGAAAGUGACGGCUAACUACGUGCCAGCAGCCGCGGUAAUUC
rnacentral:rRNA from 1 species